UCCGGUGGCGAUGCGCUUAGGGGUAACACCCGUUCCCAUCCCGAACACGAUGGUUAAGACCUAAGCGGCCGAUGGUACUUUACUGGAGACGGUACGGGAGAGUAGGUGGCUGCCGGGC
rnacentral:rRNA from 1 species